rnacentral:rRNA from 1 species
AUUGAACGCUGGCGGCAUGCCUUACACAUGCAAGUCGAACGGCAGCGGGCCCUUCGGGGUGCCGGCGAGUGGCGAACGGGUGAGUAAUGCAUCGGAACGUACCCGGGAGAGGGGGAUAACCGGCCGAAAGGCUGGCUAAUACCGCAUGAACUCGGAAGAGCAAAGCGGGGGACCUUCGGGCCUCGCGCUCUCGGAGCGGCCGAUGUCCGAUUAGGCUAGUUGGUGGGGUAAAGGCCCACCAAGGCGACGAUCGGUAGCGGGUCUGAGAGGACGAUCCGCCACACUGGGACUGAGACACGGCCCAGACUCCUACGGGAGGCAGCAGUGGGGAAUCUUGGACAAAGGGCGCAAGCCUGAUCCAGCAAUGCCGCGUGGGUGAAGAAGGCCUUCGGGUUGUAAAGCCCUUUCGGCGGGGAAGAAAUCGGUCAGGCGAAUAGUCUGGCUGGAUGACGGUACCCGCAGAAGAAGCACCGGCUAACUACGUG